GGAUUGCAGGCUGCAACUCGCCUGUAUGAAGUCGGAAUUGCUAGUAAUCGUGGAUCAGCAUGCCACGGUGAAUACGUUCCCGGGCCUUGUACACACCGCCCGUCACACCAUGAGAGUCGGGAACACCCGAAGUCCGUAGCCUAACCGCAAGGGGGGCGCGGCCGAAGGUGGGUUCGAUAAUUGGGGUGAAGUCGUAACAAGGUACC
rnacentral:rRNA from 1 species